UACGUAGGGGGCAAGCGUUGUCCGGAUUUAUUGGGCGUAAAGAGCGUGUAGGCGGCCAGGUAGGUCUGCUGUGAAAACUCGAGGCUUAACCUCGAGAUGUCGGCGGAAACCAUCUGGCUAGAGUCCGGAAGAGGAGAAUGGAAUUCCCGGUGUAGCGGUGAAAUGCGCAGAUAUCGGGAAGAACACCCGUGGCGAAGGCGGUUCUCUGGGCCGGUACUGACGCUGAGACGCGAAAGCGUGGGGAGCGAACAGG
rnacentral:rRNA from 1 species